AAUGGGAUUAGAUGUGAGUCCUUCUUUAAAGCUUCAGCAGCAUUCCUCAUUUCACUGGAGUUGUAGUGGCAGGCUCACAGGCGUACUACAGUUGCUCGCCAGCUCAACAAUGGCUUUAAUAAUGAGGGUACUUCAAUUGUCUCUACUCCUUGAUGUGGGCUGUCAAGUACAUGCUUACAGGAUCGGAUAUGCUGAGCCGGAGAUGCCUACGUAUGGGCUGCAGCAGCCUGCUAGCUAGAAGCCCCAGCAGUUAGCUAUACUCCUAGCUAUAUGCCACAGGAGCCUAGCUACGACCAGCAACAGCCCCAGCAGCAGCAGCAGCAUCCUAGCUACAAAGCAGCAGCAGCAUCCUAGCGACAAGCCCCAGCAGCAGCAACAUCCUAGCUACAAGCCCCAGCAGCAGCAGCAACAUCCUAGACAAGCCCCAGCCUAGCUACAAGCCCCAGCAGCAGCAGCAACAUCCUAGCUACAAGCCCCAGCAGCAGCAACAUCCUAGCUACAAGCCCCAGCAGCAGCAGCCUAGCUACAAGCCCCAGCAGCCUUCAGCUACAAGCCCCAGCAGCCUUCUAGCUACAAGCCACAGGAGCCAGCAGCAGCCCCAGCAGCAGCCAGCAUCCAGCUAGCAGCCCCCAGCAGCAGCAGCAACAUCCUAGCUACAAGCCCCAGCAGCAGCAGCAGCAGCAGCAUCCUAGCUACAAGCAGCAGCAGCAGCAACAUCCUAGCUACAAGCCCCCAGCAGCAGCAACAUCCCAUUUACAAGCCCCAGCAGCAGCAGCAGCAGCAGCAUCCCAUUUACAAGCCCCCCAGCAGCAGCAACAUCCCAUUUACAAGCCCCAGCAGCUGCCAGCAGCAGCAACCCAGCUACAAGCCCAGCAGCAGCAACAUCCUAGCUACAAGCCCCAGCCCAAGCAGCAGCAGCAGCAGCAACAUCCUAGCUACAAGCCCCAGCCAGCAGCAGCAUCCUGGCUACAAGCCCCAGCAGCAGCAGCAGCAGCAACAUCCUAGCUACAAGCCGCAGCAGCCCCUGCAAGCAUCCUAGCUACAAGCCCCAGCAGCAUUCUAGCUACAAGCCCCAGCAGCCUCCUAGCUACAAGCCCCAGCCGCAGCCGCAGCAUCCAAGCUACAAGCAUCCUAGCUACAAGCCCCAGCAGCAACUCAGAAGUUGAGAAGUUUGCAUUCUGUAACUUUGCUUCAUUGAAAAUUCCAUCAAAUCCUUCAAUGGUAUAAAGUUCUCAAUUGUGUUCCUGCCAUGACAUGGUUCUACGGUCCAAAUUUGACAAAAGAAUAAAAAUAUCACUUUUAAAUAGUCAAAUUGGUCAUUGGCUAGGCUGAAUGCCAGCAGCAAAUUCAGAAACCUAUUUUGAUGCCUUUUCAGGAGCCGCUGCUUUGGUCUAAUGCAACGUUACAGUUCAGUAUGGAGUCUUUUUAUUAGAUCUUUAGUAUCUAGCUACCAGCCGCAUCAGCUUCCUGAACACCAGCAGAAGCCCCCAAACUACGAGCAGCAGCCUCCUUAUUUCAAGACGUCAUCUGAAUGUGUUUUGAAUUCACCUCUGGCAAUACAGAAAUUCAAACGUUCACUAAUUUAGAUACAUAAGGUUGCACUACUCUACAAGUGGUCAAACGACUGAAGAACCAGAAAAUUCAAUGGCCUGGCCCACUGCUCCACCUCUAGCAGAAGGCUUCUCCUCUCACCUGGCUGUCAGAUCCGUCAAUGCUACCACCACCUGAAAGGUGCCAGUGAAACCUGUAUCCAGUAAUGGUUGUAAAAGGCUGGUGAGACUCGCUCAGCCCCUUACUAUCUUGCAUCAGACGCCUACCCCACUUACAUCAGUGCCCUACCCCUGGGCAUAACCCAUAGCCAGGGAUGUGGCGUGCGGAUCGCGUCUGUUAUGAUAGCUCUCCUCUGGGAUCCGUGCACUUAGUGAAUUUGCUGAGAUUGUUCUAUUUCAUGUAGGC
ensembl:lncRNA